GAUGAACGCUAGCGGCAGGCCUAAUACAUGCAAGUCGAGGGGUAGUGGAGCUUGCUCCACGAGACCGGCGCACGGGUGCGUAACGCGUAUGCAACCUACCUUCACCUGGGGGAUAGCCCGGAGAAAUCCGGAUUAACACCGCAUAAAACCACAGUACCGCAUGGUACAAUGGUCAAACAUUCAUGGGGCGGAGAUGGGCAUGCGUGCCAUUAGUAGUUGGCGGGGUAACGCCCACCAAGACCGCGAUGGCUAGGGGAU
rnacentral:rRNA from 1 species